rnacentral:tRNA from 1 species
GCGGGCGUGGCGAAACUGGCAGACGCACUGGAUUUAGGUUCCAGCGAUGAAAAUCGUGGGGGUUCGAAUCCCCCCGCCCGCACCA